UUCAAUUGAAUUUAAGUUAAACAAAUCAACGUUUAUAUCAUUAGCUAUUGACAUUAUCCUAUUCAUAGGUGAAGGGUGAGGCUGAAGCAUAAUCGGUUUUAUGCGUAAAAUAUAAAACAUAGAAGUUGGUCUAGUUCUACAUUGAGGGACAUAAAAGUUCAGAGAACUUAAAAUUUCAGGGCAAUUGAUGAAAUCUUUGACUAGCUUAAAUAAAAAUUGCAUAUCAUAUAUUUUCCUUCGUACGGAUAAGCUUGCAAUGUCAAAAAAAAAUCUAAUAGUGGAUCUUAAUUCGUGACAACAGGAUUAAUGAAAUCUUUAUAAUUUCUUGUAAUACAGCCUAAAAUAGCAAUAAUUAAUGUAUAUAAUAAUUAGCAAGCAAACGUAUAAGUCGUAGAUAGAUACUUGAAAAUUUAAUACAAAUUUCCUCAUACGUUAUUCUUAUUGUCAUUUAAAAAUUAUAAGAAUAUAUAUGCACAAUUUUAUUUUUAUUAGCUUUUGAAGUUCAAAUAUUGACAAAAUUUCAUCAAAAUCAUGAAUAUUUACAAAUUAUUUUGUAGUUAAAGUUUAUAAAAUUUUACAAUAAAAUGAAAUAUGUAUACACUAUUAUAACAUAGGUAAAUUGUUACUCAUACCUACUUAUUGUAAUGUAGACUUUAUUUAUCUAACAUAUUACAUCAGGAUUAUCUAAUCCAUAACCAACUGACAUUUUUUUAUCAUUGCCAACCUAGUUGUACACAUUCAGGAGGGUAGGUAUUAUAAUAAUACUACUUCACGGGUUUCGGACGUUUAGGUAAAUAAGGAAUUUUGUUGGUAUGGCGAUCCAUCCUUUCAUUUCUUUUAAUAAUACCUAUUCUUACUACAACCAUUUGCAGUAACAUACGGUACAAUUAGCAACCGUGAAAAGGUAAGGUAGUGCUAGUGAAGUACAGGUAAAAUAAAUAAAUGGUAAGAAUAUUACAAAAUAUUUUUAUUAUUUUGUAAGUUUUCGAUAAAUGAUAUUCUAUUGCCGUCAUUGAUUAUAGCUCAGGCUAUAGUACAUUGCUCUUAUGAUAUAAGCGGACACGAAUAAUAAUAUAGAGAAAUACGGCACUAGACUAUUUUUAAUUUAACAACCCUACUGUUAAAGUAUAUAGAUAGAAAAGAGGAACAGCUGGGCGAUUCUAGUAAAAUCCAUAACAGCAAAGCAGUAAUCUAUCAAUUGUGAGCAAACUUAAUCACGCAGAUUUCAAUGUGAAGCCAUAAGUCAACGUAAAACUGAAUGAACAAUAAGGGACUAAACUACUUUUAAUAACUUGUUGAGACAUAAGGGAACAAAAAAUAAUCGUAUUCCAUUUCAGAUUGACAAGAUAAACGGCUGGAAAAUUUCAGCAAAGUAGAUACAGGGGAAAAAACACAUCUAGCAGCAAAAUACAGCAAAUACACAUAACAAAAAACAAGAAAAUCAAAAGUGGAAAACAGAAUCAAGACGACCAGCAGAAGAUUAAUUUCAUUUGAUAGAAAACCUGUAACAUUUACACUACUUUCAAUUAUACACAGUUGAAACUAAAAUCAAUAGAACCCUUUUUAAAUA